rnacentral:rRNA from 1 species
GGAAUAUUGCACAAUGGGCGCAAGCCUGAUGCAGCCAUGCCGCGUGUGUGAAGAAGGCCUUAGGGUUGUAAAGCACUUUCAGCGAGGAGGAAGGCAUCACACUUAAUACGUGUGGUGAUUGACGUUACUCGCAGAAGAAGCACCGGCUAACUCCGUGCCAGCAGCCGCGGUAAUACGGAGGGUGCAAGCGUUAAUCGGAAUUACUGGGCGUAAAGCGCACGCAGGCGGUUUGUUAAGUCAGAUGUGAAAUCCCCGCGCUUAACGUGGGAACUGCAUUUGAAACUGGCAAGCUAGAGUCUUGUAGAGGGGGGUAGAAUUCCAGGUGUAGCGGUGAAAUGCGUAGAGAUCUGGAGGAAUACCGGUGGCGAAGGCGGCCCCCUGGACAAAGACUGACGCUCAGGUGCGAAAGCGUGGGGAGCAAACAGGAUUAGAUACCCUAG